UACGAGGGGAGCAAGCGUUGUUCGGAUUUACUGGGCGUAAAGGGCGCGUAGGCGGCUCUACAAGUCACUUGUGAAAUCUCCGGGCUUAACUCGGAACGGUCAAGUGAUACUGUCGAGCUAGAGUACAGAAGGGGCAACUGGAAUUCUCGGUGUAGCGGUGAAAUGCGUAGAUAUCAGGAAGAACACCCGUGGCGAAGGCGGCUCUCUGGGACGGUACUGACGCUGAGGCGCGAAAGCGUGGGGAGCAAACAGG
rnacentral:rRNA from 1 species